rnacentral:rRNA from 1 species
UACGGAGGAUGCAAGCGUUAUCCGGAUUCAUUGGGUUUAAAGGGUGCGUAGGCGGCUCUUUAAGUCAGUGGUGAAAUCCUGUCGCUCAACGAUAGAAUUGCCAUUGAUACUGAAGAGCUUGAGUACAAUUGAGGUAAGCGGAAUGUGUAGUGUAACGGUGAAAUGCUUAGAUAUUACACAGAACACCAAUUGCGAAGGCAGCUUACUAAACUGUCACUGACGCUGAUGCACGAAAGCGUGGGGAGCGAAC